rnacentral:lncRNA from 1 species
CUUCCACUGGACAUUCAGUGCAGCAGGCUUCCUGUGGACCUCCAGUGUGCCCACCACCACAUCACCCUUUUGUAAAAGAAAGGACAGAGAACAUGUAUCCGUGGCUGUGAGGGAGGUUACGAGUUCUAGAAAUUCCUUGGGAGAACUGUGCCAUCAGAGGAUAGUAAAGGCGGGUAACGGCUAUGGGAUCCAUUUCCAGUGGCCAGAGUUUGGCGGAUCUAAAGCGCGAGGAACAGUCCCUGGUGUCUGAAUAGACCGUCCUAGCUCAGAAGCCCAGAGUUUGCUGGAUCCAGGCCUUGUGCUCACCCCAGCCACGCUCCUAGAAUAGUCAGGAUCUGAGUGUCGCACGCAGUGCUUAUGCGCUGCCUGUUGUAUGCAUCUCUGGCAGCGGGGUGAAGGUGAUGUUGGCCCCAGAACAAAUGCAGGCAAGUGAGUCUAUGUCUGCUUGGCCUUUGGAGCACAGGUCUUUCCUCCUCUUGGUGAGCUGCCUGGCCUUGCCCUGCCCAGGCCCUUCCUGCCCCAGGUCUGGGAAGUAAGUAAGUGGGAAAUCCAGUAAUGGAGCAGGAUGUGACCCAUGGUGAGGCAGCUCCCAGAUGUGGUCCAGUCCCUGAGUCAGCAAACCACUGUGGGCACUCGAAGUAAGUCCUUCCGUCCAUUCAUUGCAAGGUCUUGUGCUCUGCUGUUCUUCCUACCCAGAUGCCCAUCUGGUUCACUGUCCCUUUUGGGAUAGGGAGCUUGCCGCCUCCAUCCUCCUCCAAGCCAUGAAGAACCUGGGUGGCCGAGGAAUAAGGGACUUUGCAGGGAGCUGGCCUCACAUGCAGGUGGAAGAAACUGCUCCCUGGGGAAAUGUCGCUGAUGGUGCAGUGAGCAAGCCCACAGAUGCUGACCGAUGUAGGACACAAUACCACAGAGACACCCAGCUACGCAGGGUCCAUGCUGGAGAGACAACCCAGGCAUACUGUCAGAGUCUGAUUGUGCAGACAAAAAACAAAACAAACAAACAAAAAAAAAACAACAGAAAAAAACCCCAGACCUAAGGCUUUAAAUUUGGAAUUAAAACUAAGGUAUAUCAUGUACAGGUACAGAUCCCCUACAAUGAAUGUGAUCAUUAUACAGCUCUAAAUUGUACCAUUAAACUUAAUUGUAAUUUAAAAAAUUUGGACUUACA